GACGAACGCUGGCGGCGUGCCUAAUACAUGCAAGUUGAGCGCUGAAGGUUGGUACUUGUACCAACUGGAUGAGCAGCGAACGGGUGAGUAACGCGUGGGGAAUCUGCCUUUGAGCGGGGGACAACAUUUGGAAACGAAUGCUAAUACCGCAUAAAAACUUUAAACACAAGUUUUAAGUUUGAAAGAUGCAAUUGCAUCACUCAAAGAUGAUCCCGCGUUGUAUUAGCUAGUUGGUAAGGUAAAGGCUCACCAAGGCGAUGAUACAUAGCCGACCUGAGAGGGUGAUCGGCCACAUUGGGACUGAGACACGGCCCAAACUCCUACGGGAGGCAGCAGUAGGGAAUCUUCGGCAAUGGACGAAAGUCUGACCGAGCAACGCCGCGGGAGUGAAGAAGGUUUUCGGAUCGUAAAACUCUGUUGGUAGAGAAGAACGUUGGUGAGAGUGGAAAGCUCAUCAAGUGACGGUAACUACCCAGAAAGGGACGGCUAACUACGUG
rnacentral:rRNA from 1 species